CCCCAGACUCCUACGGGAGACAGCAGUGGGGAAUAUUGCACAAUGGGGGAAACCCUGAUGCAGCGACGCCGCGUGAGCGAUGAAGUAUUUCGGUAUGUAAAGCUCUAUCAGCAGGGAAGAAAAUGACGGUACCUGACUAAGAAGCCCCGGCUAACUACGUGCCAGCAGCCGCGGUAAUACGUAGGGGGCAAGCGUUAUCCGGAUUUACUGGGUGUAAAGGGAGCGUAGACGGCUGUGCAAGCCAGAUGUGAAAGCCCGGGGCUCAACCCCGGGACUGCAUUUGGAACUGUGUGGCUGGAGUGUCGGAGAGGCAGGCGGAAUUCCUAGUGUAGCAGUGAAAUGCGUAGAUAUUAGGAGGAACACCAGUGGCGAAGGCGGCCUGCUGGACGAUGACUGACGUUGAGGCUCGAAAGCGUGGGGAGCAAACAGGAUUAGAUACCCCAGUA
rnacentral:rRNA from 1 species